rnacentral:rRNA from 1 species
AUUGAACGCUGGAGGAAUGCUUUACACAUGCAAGUCGAACGGCAGCACGGACUUCGGUCUGGUGGCGAGUGGCGAACGGGUGAGUAAUACAUCGGAACGUGCCCAGUCGUGGGGGAUAACGUAGCGAAAGCUACGCUAAUACCGCAUACGAUCUAAGGAUGAAAGCGGGGGACCGUAAGGCCUCGCGCUAAUAGAGCGGCCGAUGUUCGAUUAGCUAGUUGGGGAGGUAAAGGCUCACCAAGGCGACGAUAGAUAGCUGGUCUGAGAGGAUGAACAGCGACAGUGGAAGUGAGAGACGGUGCAGGAUCCUACGGGGGGCAGCAGUGGUGAAUUUUGGACAAUGGGGGCAACCCGGAUCCAGCCAUUCCGCGUAAGUGAAGAAGGCCUUCGGGUUGUAAAGCUCUUUCGGCAUGAACGAAACGGCCAUUACUAAUACUAGUGGUCAAUGACGGUACCUGAAGAAGAAGCACCGGCUAACUACGUGCCAGCCGCCGCCGUAA